CGAGUCGGCCUGCGCGGAAGAUGUAACGGGGCUAAAUUAUGCACCGAAGCCGCGGCAGCGAUAUGUAAAUAUUGUUGGGUAGGGGAGCGUUCUGUAAGCCUGUGAAGGUGUGCUGUGAGGCAUGCUGGAGGUAUCAGAAGUGCGAAUGCUGACAUAAGUAACGAUAAUGCGGGUGAAAAACCCGCACGCCGGAAGACCAAGGGUUCCUGUCCAACGUUAAUCGGGGCAGGGUGAGUCGACCCCUAAGGCGAGGCUGAAAAGCGUAGUCGAUGGGCAACGGGUUAAUAUUCCCGUACUGGUGGUAACUGCGAAGGGGGGACGGAGAAAGCUAAAUCAUCCGGGCGACGGUUGUCCCGGUUUAAGCGUGCAGGUGGACUGACCAGGCAAAUCCGGUCGGUUGUUAACACUGAGGCGUGACGACGAGCCACUACGGUGGUGAAGUGAUUGAUGCUCUGCUUCCGGGAAAAGCCUCUAAGCUCCAGGUUAUCAUUAAUCGUACCCCAAACCGACACAGGUGGUCAGGUAGAGAAUACUCAGGCGCUUGAGAGAACUCGGGUGAAGGAACUAGGCAAAAUGGUGCCGUAACUUCGGGAGAAGGCACGCUGGCACUAGGUGAAGUCCCUCGCGGACGGAGCUGAAGCCAGCCGCAGAUACCAGCUGGCUGCAACUGUUUAUUAAAAACACAGCACUGUGCAAACACGAAAGUGGACGUAUACGGUGUGACGCCUGCCCGGUGCCGGAAGGUUAAUUGAUGAGGUUAGCGCAAGCGAAGCUUCUGAUCGAAGCCCCGGUAAACGGCGGCCGUAACUAUAACGGUCCUAAGGUAGCGAAAUUCCUUGUCGGGUAAGUUCCGACCUGCACGAAUGGCGUAAUGAUGGCCAGGCUGUCUCCACCCGAGACUCAGUGAAAUUGAACUCGCUGUGAAGAUGCAGUGUACCCGCGGCAAGACGGAAAGACCCCGUGAACCUUUACUAUAGCUUGACACUGAACAUUGAGCCUUGAUGUGUAGGAUAGGUGGGAGGCAACGAAGUGUGGACGCCAGUCUGCACGGAGCCAUCCUUGAAAUACCACCCUUUAACGUUUGAUGUUCUAACCCAGACCCGUAAUCCGGGUCGGGGACCGUGUCUGGUGGGUAGUUUGACUGGGGCGGUCUCCUCCCAAAGAGUAACGGAGGAGCACGAAGGUUGGCUAAGCAUGGUCGGACAUCAUGCGGUUAGUGCAAAGGCAUAAGCCAGCUUGACUGCGAGAGUGACGGCUCGAGCAGGUACGAAAGUAGGUCUUAGUGAUCCGGUGGUUCUGAAUGGAAGGGCCAUCGCUCAACGGAUAAAAGGUACUCCGGGGAUAACAGGCUGAUACCGCCCAAGAGUUCAUAUCGACGGCGGUGUUUGGCACCUCGAUGUCGGCUCAUCACAUCCUGGGGCUGAAGUAGGUCCCAAGGGUAUGGCUGUUCGCCAUUUAAAGUGGUACGCGAGCUGGGUUUAGAACGUCGUGAGACAGUUCGGUCCCUAUCUGCCGUGGGCGCUGGAAGAUUGAGAGGGGUUGCUCCUAGUACGAGAGGACCGGAGUGAACGCACCACUGGUGUACGGGUUGUGAUGCCAAUUGCAUUGCCCGGUAGCUAAGUGCGGAAGAGAUAACCGCUGAAAGCAUCUAAGCGGGAAACUUGCCUCGAGAUGAGUCUUCCCUGACCCUUUAAGGGUCCUGAAGGAACGUUUGAGACUAAGACGUUGAUAGGCUGGGUGUGUAAGUGCAGCGAUGUAUUGAGCUAACCAGUACUAAUGAACCGAGAGGCUUAACCUG
rnacentral:rRNA from 1 species